rnacentral:rRNA from 1 species
GACGAACGCUGGCGGCGUGCUUAACACAUGCAAGUCGAACGGAAAGGCCCUGCUUUUGUGGGGUGCUCGAGUGGCGAACGCGGGAGUAACACGUGAGUAACCUGCCCUUGACUUUGGGAUAACUUCAGGGGAAUGGGGCGAAUACCGGAUAGGAGAUACUGCUGCAUGGGGGGGGUUGGAGAGUUUCGGCGGUUGGGGAUGGACUCGCGGCUUAUCCGCUUGUUGGUGGAGUAGUGGCUUACCAAGGCUUUGACGGGUAGCCGGCCUGAGAGGGUGACCGGCCACAAUGGGACUGCGAUACGGCCCAGACGCCUACGGGCGGCAGCAGUGGGGAAUAUUGCACAAUGGGCGGAAGCCUGAUGCAGCAACGCUGCGUGCGGGAUGACGGCCUUCGGGUUGUAAACCGCUUUCUCCUGUGACGAAGCGUGAGUGACGGUAAUGGGUAAAGAAGCACCGGCUAACUACGUG